rnacentral:rRNA from 1 species
GACGAACGCUGGCGGCGUGCUUAACACAUGCAAGUCGAACGGUGAAGCGCCUUCCUUUUUGGUGGGUGUGGAUGAGUGGCGAACGGGUGAGUAACACGUGAGUAACCUGCCCCCUUCUUCUGGAUAACCGCAUGAAAGUGUGGCUAAUACGGGAUAUUCUGGGUCUGUCGCAUGAUGGGUCUGGGAAAGAUAUUGUUUCGGUGGGGGAUGGGCUCGCGGCCUAUUAGCUUGUUGGUGGGGUGAUGGCCUACCAAGGCGGUGACGGGUAGCCGGCCUGAGAGGGUGGACGGUCACACUGGGACGGAGACACGGCCAAGACUCCUACGGGAGGCAGCAGUGGGGAAUAUUGCACAAUGGGCGCAAGCCUGAUGCAGCGACGCCGCGUGAGGGAUGGAGGCCUGCGGGUUGUGAACCUCUUUCGCCAGUGAAGCAGGCCUGCCUCGUUUGUGGGUGGGUUGACGGUAGCUGGAUAAGAAGCGCCGGCUAACUACGUG